rnacentral:sRNA from 1 species
GUUAAAGCCUCUGGGAAAGGGCUCUUGUGACAAAAGGAGUCUGUUGGAAAAGCGCAUUUUUCAGGUGUCUGAGGGAAGGAUGACCUCGAAAAUAAAUGGUGCUGGAGAAAAGCUCCAGGGAAUGGAGGAGCUUUCAGAGAGACAGGAUGCCAUCCUGAGAAACCCAAGGAGGGCACUGCUCAGAGACCGCAGUUGCCUCCCGCAGGUCAGACCCUGCUGAGGACCGGUUGGUUGUGAAGUUAGACAGACGUGCUGGAUUUUUAGCCUUUGUGAAUAUGUAGAUUUCAAAGGGUGUCAGAAAUACCGUUGAAAGUGGUAAUUCCUCAUUUUUCCUCCUUGGCAGCUCGGAUUCUGAAGGUAAUUUUGAGACCCCUGAAGCUGAAACCCCGAUCCGAUCACCUUUCAAGGAGUCCUGUGAUCCAUCACUCGGAUUGGCAGGACCUGGGGCCAAAAGCCAAGAAUCACAAGAAGCUGAUGAACAGCUUGUAGCAGAAGUGGUUGAAAAAUGUUCAUCUAAGACUUGUUCUAAACCUUCAGAAAAUGAAGUGCCACAGCAGGCC